rnacentral:rRNA from 1 species
UACGGGGGGGGCAAGCGUUGUUCGGAAUUACUGGGCGUAAAGGGCUCGUAGGCGGCCAACUAAGUCAGACGUGAAAUCCCUCGGCUUAACCGGGGAACUGCGUCUGAUACUGGAUGGCUUGAGAUUGGGAGAGGGAUGCGGAAUUCCAGGUGUAGCGGUGAAAUGCGUAGAUAUCUGGAGGAACACCGGCGGCGAAGGCGGCGCUCUGGGCCGGGUACUGACACUGAGGAGCGAAAAGCGUGGGGUAGCAAAACAGGG